GUGGAUAUGGAGGUGAGCUGUAUUUAUUGUUUGUAUAAGAGUUUUGCCCCUAAUUGUUAGAAGUGAGGCCAAAUGUCUGUUGUGUUUAUGUUGCAGAGUCAGAAAUUGGAUCGCCCCGCUCUUGACACUUCUGUUAUAGACAGCCCAUCUACGCCUUUGUUUUCCUCCUCCUCUGACAGCAACAUCAGCUCUCCAACACCCUUCUCCAAAACCUAAACACAAAGAUUGUUCUGGAGCCACUAAAAAGAUUCGCCUCAUUAGUCCAGAGUAUGUCAUAUACACUGACACAGAACUAGAACUAGCAAGAAGUGCUUACUUUGAAAAGCAGCGUGCUGGACAAGACGAAGACUACACCAUGCCAAAAGACUUGUGCUGUAGACUCAUUAGGAAUACAGUAACAGGCAUGAUUGCUAUGAAAAGAGCGUCCGAGGAUGAUUUUAAGUACCCAGGCUCCCGUGAACUGACUGCCAUGGCUAAGCGUCUAGUAGAAUACUACCCAAUGCUGUGAGACAAGUCUACGUCCAAUACACCUGAAUGGGUAAGUCUCUCAUUUUGUUGAGGAAUUAUUUUUUUAAUCUGUUACCAAUGGUAAUAAUAGUUUAUUUUUAUUGUUUUGUUAUUUUAGGAAAUGGUGAAGAAGCAGUUGUUGAAAAGGGUUCAGAAUGUGACAACUCCAAAAAAGAAGCAAGGUCCAACCCCAUCAAGAAAAGGACCUAGAAGCCUAAAAUUCCAGAGCAGCCAGGCGACGUGCACUGAAGAGAGUGAUGAACCUUUCUCCUCCCCUGCUUCAGUCUCUUCAGCUGCUUCAUCAGUCGCCUCGUCAUCUUCCUCCACUGUGAUCCUAGAGAAGUCAACUCCUUCUACAAGUACUUCCCAAGAGGUGGAUCUCUUUAGUGCUAUAGAGAGCCCACAGAGCCAAGCGAGACACUAUAAAACUCUGCAGGAUUUGUACAAAACUAAGAACAAACCCAACAAGGAAGAUGUAUCCCAGCUGCUGGAAUUGGAGUUCCAAUCUAGACGAGCUUUCAUUGACUCUGAUGUGAUGAAGGAACAGGACAGGUCUAUGAAGAUACUGCAGGCUUAUCCAUGUUUUAAAGAACUUGGCCAUGGAAGUAUUUUUUUCUCACUAAACUUGUAUAUUUCACUUGAACGAAGGCCUCUUAAUUUAAAUCUCUACUGUUAGAUCAUCGAUGAACUCCAGCGAAUCCUUGAUAAAGGAAACCCCUUCUUCACAAUGGAGCUGAAGAAACGUUGGCUGAGAUUUUUUAACCAGGCACAGUUUUAUGGGGUGUUCAAAAAAAUCAUAGGACCACCACUGCAGGACCAAGGUAAGGAUGAUUUAUUUGCUGUUACCCACAUACACAAAGACCUAAAAUUAUUAUGAUUUAUUAUAAUUGUUUAAACAGUAAAGAAUGCACUUGCUGUCCUGAAAGUACUGCCUCAGAUGUUC
rnacentral:lncRNA from 1 species